GCUGGUAUAUUUUGUAUUAAUGACGAAGCUUCAAACGGUGAAUCGAUCCUAAUCUGAGAGACCAGCUUUCUCUUUGACAGUCUGAGUGGGAUGUGGAUGUGGUCAUCAAAUGAACAUCAGCUAGCUCCGGGACUCGGCGGCGAAUAUCAGUUACGAAAACUCUAUUAUUGAUCACAUCCUGUUGCUUAUUUUGAUUUAGGUAGCUGAUAGAGAAGGGAAAAUAGUAGUCGGUCUGGAAUCCGAGUAAUAUUUGUUGUUGAAUUGGGACAAUUCUGAUGAGAAAAUGCCAUCUCAAGUGGGGUCAGAUGCAACGGAAUCAUCCCCUUCGGCUACCGGAGGCGGUACUAUCACUUGCUCUGAAGAAAACCAAUCUCAUUCCACAUCUUCAAUGUCACCAGAAGUAGAAAUACCGCUCUCAUGGCCACCCGAUGGCGGCCUCACACUGGAAUGGAUUCAGAAUUUGAUGUCCACAUUUGACUGGUCUUCUAGAAAUGUGGCUCCUUCUGAAUUCUCAACUGUGCUUCCAGUUCAGGUGUUUGACAGUCUGGUUCUUUGUGCCUCUAAACUCCUCCACAAGGAGCCUAACUGUCUCCGCAUUGAUCCCUGCGAGUCAGAAUCAAGUGUGGUGGUUGUUGGUGAUCUUCACGGGCAGUUGCAUGAUCUUCUAUUCCUUCUGGGAGAUGCUGGUUUCCCCUCCCAAAAUCGUAUAUUCAUAUUCAACGGUGAUUAUGUUGAUAGGGGAGCUUGGGGUCUAGAGACGUUUUUGCUGUUAUUGGCGUGCAAAGUCUUCAUGCCGCAGAAAAUUUUUCUUCUCCGUGGAAACCAUGAAUCUAAAUACUGUACUUCUGUCUAUGGCUUUGAAAAGGAGGUAUUGACAAAAUAUGGAGACAAAGGUAAGCAUGUCUACCGGAAAUGUCUUGGAUGUUUUGAAGGACUUCCUUUGACAACUAUUAUAGCUGGACGUGUAUAUACCGCUCAUGGAGGACUUUUCCGCAGUGUAACUGUAACACCCUCAAAGAGACAUAAAGGAAAGAAGAAUCGUAGGCUAAGUUUCAAUGCUGAAUCAACCGCCUUAUCACUUGGUACUUUGGACGAGUUGUCUAAAGCUCGAAGAUCAGUUCUUGAUCCUCCUUGGGAAGGUUUGAACUUGAUUCCUGGUGAUGUACUAUGGUCGGAUCCAUCAAUGAAUCUUGGUCUUUCUCCAAAUAAAGAGAGAGGUAUUGGUCUACUUUGGGGUCCAGAUUGCACAGAGGAUUUUUUGAAGAAAUACGAUCUCAAGUUGAUUAUCAGAUCACAUGAGGGCCCUGAUGCAAGGGAGAAAAGACCUAACUUUGGAGGAAUGGACGAAGGGUACACCAUAGACCAUGUUGUGGAGUCAGGGAAACUAAUUACCGUGUUCAGUGCUCCGGACUAUCCACAGUUUCAGUCAUGCAGGCAACAAAUGAUAGAUACAAAAACAAAGGCGCAUACAUUGUUUUAGAACCACCUGAUUUCGAUAAUCCUGUAUUCCAUUCUUUUGCAGCAGUGACUCCAAGGCCUAAGGUAAACGCCUAUUAUGAUUAUGAAGAUGUGAUUGAUUCUGAUGAAGAGUUGGACUUGGCAUCGAUGGCCACUGAUCAUUGAAGGUUCACGAUUAAUUUUUUGGUACCAUUUUGAUGACAGUUUUAAUUUGUUAAAGAUAUAUGGUGUAAGAGUUAUUUUCUUUUCUUCGCUAGAUACCCUCUUUUUUUUUUUUUUUUUUUUUUUUUUUUUCCUCUUUUUUAAUAACAAAAA